rnacentral:rRNA from 1 species
UACGUAGGUGGCAAGCGUUGUCCGGAUUUAUUGGGUUUAAAGGGUGCGUAGGUGGUCUAUUAAGUCAGUGCUGAAAUAUCCCGGCUUAACCGGGAGGGUGGCAUUGAUACUGAUGGACUUGAGUAAAGUUGAGGUUGGCGGAAUUGACGGUGUAGCGGUGAAAUGCUUAGAUAUCGUCAAGAACACCUAUUGCGAAGGCAGCUAACUAAGCUUUAACUGACACUGAGGCACGAAAGUGUGGGGAUCAAACAGG